rnacentral:tRNA from 1 species
GAGGGUAUAGCUCAGUGGUAGAGUGCGUGCUUAGCAUGCACUAGGUCCUGGGUUCAAUCCCCAGUACCUCCA